rnacentral:rRNA from 1 species
CCUACGGGAGGCAGCAGUAGGGAAUCUUCCACAAUGGGCGAAAGCCUGAAGGAGCAACGCCGCGUGGGUGAAGAAGGUCUUCGGAUCGUAAAACCCUGUUGUUCGAGAAGCAAGUGCGUGAGCGUAACUGUUCACGUUUCGACGGUAUCUAACCAGAACGCCACGGCUCACUACGUGUCAGCCGCUGCGGUAAUACGUAGGUGGCAAGCGUUAUCCGGAUUUAUUGGGCGUAAAGGGAACGCAGGCGGUCUUUUAAGUCUGAUGUGAAAGGCUUCGGCGUAACCGGCGUAGUGCAUUGGAAACUGGGAGACUUGAGUGCAGAAGAGGAAAGCGGAACGCCAUGUGUAGCGGUGAAAUGCGUAGAUAUAUCGAAGAACCCCAGUGGCGAAGGCGGCGCUCUGGUCUGUAACUGACGCUGAGGUUCGAAAGCGUGGGUAGCGAACAGGAUUAGAUACCCCUGUAGUC